UUGUGCUAGGCGGGGAGCUAGUGGUGCCCUGAACCCAGAAUCCACUACACUGGGGCCAAACAUCUAAUUGCGGGGCAAACUUAAUUGUGUUGAGUGGUUAUCUUCCAUGUUGAAAUUAAGGUCUUAUACAAUGUUGCCCUACGAACCAUGUCAGGACCGGAAGGUAGCAGCAUUAAGAAGGAUACAGCAUGUGCUAUAGGGUUGCUUUGAUGGAGUGAAAUUUAGCCAUGCCAGCAGUUGAUUUGUUUCAAAUUUAGACCGUACAA
rnacentral:SRP_RNA from 1 species